rnacentral:lncRNA from 1 species
AUAUUUAGUAAUAUUUAUGCAAUUAUGUAUUAUGUCUUGUUAACUACUUAAUCGUCUUUUAAGUUUUAGUUACACCUAGCAUGUUCCCCCCAACAUGCUAGGUCAAUUUUCAGCAUCAUAAGGUUGAGUGAUAUAGUCAUGUCAUACACCGUUUGAAAGCUUAGAAUCUGUCAACCAAUGUCAACCAUUCGGUGGAAUAAAUAUGUUUAGUGAAUAUAGAUCAAAUAUAUCCUAGUGUCUUGGGUCAAAAUAGCCCCCCUCACCCUCCUCCUCCCUUGGUCCAUUCUAACUUUAUCGUAGUUGUGGAUAUCCUUAGCAAUGAGUUGAUACUUCAUGUUGGGUCUUGAAAUGUUCAUAAGCGUCCACAGAAAUCGAAUAUCAAUAUUAUUUUAGUCUAAUUACAUUGUGUAUAUGCACAAGCCAUCUUAUACAAAGCAGCCGAAAAAUAGAAAACCGAAACGCUGCAAUGUUUUUUUGUAGAAAACUGCUUUUAUGUUUAUACUGGUUUUCUUUGACUUUUAGAGACACGUCAGUGUAAUUGUGAAUGGCGAGAGCCCUGAAAUACAGCUGGACAGCAGCGGUCUACAUCACUGCCCCUUCUGCAGAUACAAAGGGUCAAAAUGUGAUAUCGACCAUCACAUUAAAUGCCAUGCCUCGGUUAAAUACAGAGGUCUGCAGAGGAGCUUUCAGGAAGCAGGAAGAGAAGACGGGAGGAAAAAAAAGCUACAGGAUAAAGAUCUCUGCACAAAAAGGGCUAGAGUUGCUCCAACAGCAUCCAGCUCUGAAGGAUCAGGUCAUGUAUAGACUGUUAAUCCAGGUGAAUCCAUGUAGGCCUACACAUAUUCAGAGUGUUUGUGAGAUAUGAUUGAUUCUAUUAGGCUUCUACUUCCAAAUUAAGUUGUACACAUAUCUCCAUCAAUAUACAAGUUAUAGCCUACUCCAUGGCUGAUCUAUUGCGCAUACUAGGGCCUACUUUUAUUAUUCCAUUGUAUUGGCCUACUCAACAUUACAGACAACAAUCUGUUUUGUUUCCAGACAAAACUGAAGACCAGGAACUGGAACCUGGGAACCUGGUACAUAAUAUGUGUGUAAUGUUGGAGGUUGUUUGUAUAGCCAGAUGAAAUAGUCUGAUGACUAGUUGAAUAGUGUUUUUUAUCACUGAAAACUCAUCAGUAGUAGUAGCCUUUGUUUGCAUACCAUUUUGUGGUUUUGGGAGGGUAGGGUGUCAAGUACAGACACAAAUAAUUGUUCUUUCUUCUUCAAGGAAGAUUAUGUUGUCCUGAAGGACACAAUUCAGGCAGCAGCAUGGUGCCAGUUACAGUCCUUCAAGGACAGCGUUUCUCUCCCAGAGGUCAUUGGGAUGGAAGGUUGGGAGCAGAUGGCAGCAUCAACACAGCGCAAAUCCCAUGACGGCGGGGAUGAGGAAGAAACGUGGAAACCAUUCCAAUUCUCAUUCAGAUUACAUACUGACUAUGAACUGUUCUGUGUGGAGAGGAUGGACAGGAGAAACCUGAAGGUGUUUGCCUCUUUUGAGUCAAACACCUCUCCCCCUCCCCGUCCCCCCUCCCCGUCCCCCUCCCCGUGACGCCUGCGCCACACGACUCCAAUGUAGUCUGAUGAUGCAGCAUAAUGGCGGCGCUUGGCAGCUAUGGCGGCGGUGACGGCGAUGUCGUGCGACAGAGCGUGAAGCAAGAGUGGCAUCCACCUCACUGAGGAAGGCGUCAGUGUGUUCCCCCUUUGUUGUUUGACUUUGUUUGUUCUACUCUUUAUUGAUUUAUCUUUUAUGUUUAUAGUUUACAAUCUAUUUUUUGUAGUUGUUAUUUUUUAAUUGUUUUGUUGAAUAAAAAGACAGUUGUUAGUGCUCCUGUGAUUGGUGUAACUUAAUGUGCUUCACACAUGUAGCUUUUCAUUAUGUCUAUUGAGGUAAAUUUUUUGCCCUUAGAUGUGGUCACUUCGUUAUUCCUCACAUUACAUCUGUUAAGGCCAUACCUUUGGGUCCCAGUCUUCAUAGUUCCCCAAAUCUUAUUUUGGCUCUUA